AUGACCGCCCCACCCGAGACCGCGGCCACUCGAAAAAACGGCGGCGAUGAGGAGGCCCGGCCCUUGGCGCAGACCCGCGCUCCCGAGCGGCGGCGGCGUCGGAUCCGACCGCCUCGCGGGGCCAGCCCUCCCGUCCGCGCCGCGCCGCGUCGCCGCCGGCAUGGAGGCCCGUGCUCGGGCAGCCUCCGCGGCGUCGUCGGCGUCGGUGCGGCGGCGGGGUCUUUGGGUACCGCGUGGCGGUGGACCGGCGCGGCUUCCGGUCGAGGGUUCCGGCGACGCCAAGCCGUAGAUCUGAGCCGCCGUCUGCACCUCGUUUCCUCCAUGUUUCGAUCUGGAUUAUAUAAACGAGAGAGAAAACUGGCUCCAGAAGUUCUUGUAACCCAGCUCAAGUGGUUUCAAGCAUUGCUUGGUGCAUCUAUAUGUAAGAAUUCACGGAUCGUGGAGUAUCAGGUAGAGCUGGAUUUAAAUUCCUUCAUGAGCCCCAGCAUAAAGAGUGAUAAAAAGAUUCUAUCAACAAGAGAGAAGAGGCUCUAG
rnacentral:rRNA from 1 species